AUUGAACGCUGGCGGCAGGCCUAACACAUGCAAGUCGAGCGGAUGAAGGGAGCUUGUUCCUGGAUUCAGCGGCGGACGGGUGAGUAAUGCCUAGGAAUCUGCCUGGUUGUGUGGGAUAACGUCCGGAAACGGGCGCUAAUACCGCAUACGUCCUGAGGGAGCAAGUGGGGGAUCUUCGGACCUUACGCUAUCAGAUGAGCCUAGGUCGGUUUAGCUAGUUGGUGGGGUAAAGGCCUACUAAGGCGACGAUCCGUAACUGGUCUGGGAGGAUGAUCAGUCACCCUGGAACGUGAACACGGUCCAGACUCCUACGAGAGGCAGCAGUGGGGAAUAUUGGACAAUGGGCGAAAUCCUUGUCCAACCAUGCCGCGUGUGUGAAAAAGGUCUUCGGAUUGUAAAGCACUUUAAGUUGGGAGGAACGGCAGUAAGUUAAUACCUUGCUGUUUUGACGUUACCAACAGAAUAAGCACCGGCUAACUUCGUG
rnacentral:rRNA from 1 species